GGUGCGGUGGUUUAAUGGUUAGCGCGUUGAACUCUGGAUCGAGAGGUCCGGGUUCGAGCCCUGGCCGGGGUCA